GCUAUUUUGGCAGAAAAUAUGUGCUAGACUUAGGAUCUAGUUAAAUAGAAAUGAAUCUAUAAAUAGUU
rnacentral:tRNA from 1 species